rnacentral:rRNA from 2 species
GGUUUCCGUAGGUGAACCUGCGGAAGGAUCAUUAACG